rnacentral:sRNA from 1 species
GCCAAAGCUAAUUUCUUCCAUGCAGUCAUGUCAGUUUCAACUAUCAACUGAUCUUUUAAAUCUCAAUUGUAUGGCGGAAAACACUUUAAACCCAUUGAUGAAUUGAAGAUUUCUGAUUUGAAAUGUCUAAAAUUACCCUAGAUUUCAUAUUACCAGAUACCCUAACGAAUUUUGAAAUAAAAGUUAGAGCCAUACUUGUCGUCGCCGCCGAUGACACAGUAUCUUCCGAAAUUCCUCGCCGACUUUUCUUCUUCAUCUCCGUCUUUUGAGUUCUUCUAAAAACAGUAAAUCGAGAAAUCAAAAAAUCCUUUAAUUGUUAGACCCUUUAACACGAACUCGAUCAAAAUUUUCGCCACUUAAACAACAACUCGAACUCGAACAGAGCCUCAAUCGGAAUUCUAUUAAGUUUCCGCCACUUAAAAUUUUUGCUAU